UGUAAGUUUUCGGUUAAAUCUGUACGCUCAACGUACAGGCUGCCGGGAAUACUGCAGAGCUAGGGAGUGGGAGAGGUAGACGGUACUCGGGAGGAAGUGGUAAAAUGCUUUGAUCUCUCGAUGACCACCUGUGGCGAAGGCGGUCUACCAGAACACGUCCGACGGCGAGGGAUGAAAGCUGGGGGAGCAAACCGGAUUAGAUACCCGGGUAGUCCCAGCUGUAAACUAUGCAAACUCAGUGAUGCAUUGGCUUGUGGCCAAUGCAGUAUUGCAGGGAAGCCGUUAAGUUUGCCGCCUGGGAAGUACGUACGCAAGUAUGAAACUUAAAGGAAUUGGCGGGGGAGCACCACAAGGGGUGAAGCCUGCGGUUCAAUUGGAGUCAACGCCAGAAAUCUUACCCGGAGAGACAGCAGAAUGAAGGUCAAGCUGAAGACUUUACCAGACAAGCUGAGAGGUGGUGCAUGGCCGUCGCCAGCUCGUGCCGUGAGAUGUCCUGUUAAGUCAGGUAACGAGCGAGAUCCCUGCCUCUAGUUGCCACCAUUACUCUCAGGAGUAGUGGGGCGAAUUAGCGGGACCGCCGCAGUUAAUGCGGAGGAAGGAAGGGGCCACGGCAGGUCAGUAUGCCCCGAAACUCUGGGGCCACACGCGGGCUGCAAUGGUAAUGACAAUGGGUUCCGAAUCCGAAAGGAGGAGGUAAUCCCCAAACAUUACCACAGUUAUGACUGAGGGCUGCAANUCGCCCUCACGAAUAUGGAAUCCCUAGUNNCUGCGUGUC
rnacentral:rRNA from 1 species